GACGAACCGUGCGAACGUUGUUCGGAUUCACUGGGCUUAAAGGGCGCGUAGGCGGCUUGCCAAGUCAGGGGUGAAAUCUUUCGGCUUAACCGGAAAAGUGCUUCUGAUACUGGCGGGCUGGAGGGAGGUAGGGGCAGACGGAACUUCCGGUGGAGCGGUGAAAUGCGUAGAUAUCGAGAGGAACACCAGUGGCGAAGGCGAGUCUCUGGACGACUCCUGACACUGAGGCACGAAAGCUAGGGGAGCAAACAGG
rnacentral:rRNA from 1 species